GACGAACGCUGGCGGCGUGCCUAAUACAUGCAAGUCGAACGCAGUGGGGACGGUUGAGUAACACGUGGGUCACCUCCCAUCAGAGGGGAUAAAACUUGGAAACAGGUGCUAAACCGAUACUGAUGGAUGAACCCGCGGUGCAUUAGCUAGUUGGUGGGGGAACGGCUCACCAAGGCAACGAUGCAUAGCCGGCCGGAGAGGGUGAGCGGCCACACUGGGACUGAGACACGGCCCAGACUCCUACGGGAGGCAGCAGUAGGGAAUCUUCGGCAAUGGACGAAAGUCUGACGUAGCAACGCCGCGUGAGUGAAGAAGGUUUUCGGAUCGUAAAACUCUGUUGUUAGAGAAGCGUUAGCUAACCAGAAAGCCACGGCUAACUACGUGCCAGCAGCCGCGGUAAUUC
rnacentral:rRNA from 1 species